CUGAUCAUGGACUGGAACCUCUGAAACCCAGAGCCCAAAUAGACCUUUCUCUUAAAGCUGUUUGUCUCUCAUAUUUAGUACAGUGAUGGAAAGCUGACUUACACAGUGAUGUUCAGGUACAGGAACAGAAAAUGGAUUAAGACAGGAGAGUCUAGUAUUUAACCACCCAAGGCCAACAGAUGGUAUCCAGGCGCUAAAUCAAGAAAGGUGGAAGUGGAAGUCACAGAUGGAAUAAUGUAAACAGAGGAAUAACCCAAUCUGCAGAAAAAAGUCCGAAGAAAAUAUGAGUAUAUUUAAACUCAGGGUCAGAAAGACCUUUUACAAGGGGGCUGUGUCCCUUCUCCCUGAAUCCAGCUGGAUGGUGGGAGCUUUGAUCACUGAGCAUGAGACGAUAACACUGUGCCUGCUCAGAGGCCUGGCAGGACACACAGGGCUGCUGGAUCCCUGAGCUGCCUGGGAGAGGCCACUCUCACCUGCUGGGGAUCCUGUAGCUGCAGGAGCCAGAGAAAGACCCAGUGAACCUGACUUCCAGCAUGAGCCUGGUGCAGCAGGGCC